CAUGCAGUCGACGGCACGCACGGGUGCUUGCACCUGGUGGCGAGUGGCGAACGGNUGAGUAAUGCAUCGGAACGUACCGUGUGAUGGGGGAUAACGUGGCGAAAGUCACGCUAAUACCGCAAACACCCUGAGGGGGAAAGCGGGGGCUCGCAAGACCUCGCGUUAUACGAUCGGCCGAUGUCUGAUUANCUUGNUGGUGGGGUAAAGGCCCACCAAGGCCACNAUCAGUAGCGGGUCUGANAGGAUGAUCCGCCACACUGGGACUGANACNCGGACCAUACUCCUACGGGAGGCAGCAUUGGGGAAUUUUGGACAAUGGGGGCAACCCUGAUCCAGCCNUGCCGCGUGAGUGAAGAAGGCCUUCGGGUUGUAAAGCUCUUUCAGUCGGAACGAAACGGUUCGCUCUAACAUACCGUGCUAAUGACGGUACUGACAGAAGAAGCACCAGCUAACUACGUGCCAGCA
rnacentral:rRNA from 1 species